AAAAUAAUAAUAUUUUGUAAUUUUAACUGGAGGGUUAGAGAAAUGGUUCAUGAUUAAAAACACUGGCUGUUCUCGCAGAAGAUUCCAAUGUAACAGGCCUCAGACCUUAGCACAUCUGACUCCAUGAUGGAAGUACUGCUCAGGCCAAAACUAAAGCACAGGCCCAACCCGUCAAGGCCUAUAGUUAGGCUAAAGUCUCUCAAGUACUAACCUGUUUUUUUAGCUUCUGUAGUUCCGUAUCUGGCUAACUGUUCUUGCUAACUGAGGUAUAUCACCUCAGGAUGUGGUUUUGUGCUUAAAAACUCACCCUGAGAAAGGCUCCAGGCUAUACUGGGCUCUACACACAGAGACUAUAGUGCAGUCACUGGCCCAUAAAGACUUUGUCUGCUAAAACCUGUGUCUGAGUAAUCUUCUCUGGUGGAUCCCCCACAACACCAGAAGCACAGGGCAGGUCACAGCCUCCUGUACUGUCAGCUCCAGCGGAUUCGAUGGCCUCUCCUGCCUUCAGUACACAUUGGGCAUAUAUAUGUUGCACAGACACACAUGCAGGCAUACAACGCAUAUAUAAUAUUUUUUAAAUGUUGAUGAGAAGAAAACGCAUACUGCUCUCACCAGGCCUGAGUUUAGUUCCCAGUCCUUGCACUGGUGAAUCAAAGCCACCCACGGGUCUGGCUUUGGGGAUUCACUGCCACCCAUGCUUGCAAACAACUUAAAAAUAAAACAUUUUAAAAAAAAUUUUGUUUUCCCUGGGCAGUGGUGGCACAUGCCUUUAAUCCCAGCACUCAGGGUAUCAUAUCCACUGGGGAGGUGAGGGGAUAGGGUGCUCAUGUCCCCUUACCCCGGGUGGCAUCUGUGCCUUCUGGCACGGGUCACUGUAACCUCAUUGAUUGAACACAGGCUGACCUUCAAAUGAAGACCUACAAAACCUCGGAUUUUGGGAAAGACAGUGCCUUUCCCAAAAGUGCCUUCACCAGCACUCAGUGGCACUUUCCUUCCUUAGGCCGCAUCGCCCUCUAUGAAUGAGAAGCGGCAUUGCAAGGGGCACCUCUGAGAGCUGCCUCAGCACACACAGGUGAGCCUUCAACAGCUGCUCCAGCAAGGUACACAAGGCAAACUUACAAUUUGGGAGGCAGAAGCAGGAGGAUCGGAUCGGCAUAAACUGGAAGUCAGUGAGGCUUGUUUCAAACCACCUGGAAGGGCUAAGCAGGAGAUUACUCUAAACAAAGUUGCUCUAAUGUUGGGAUCUACAACCAUAAAACGAACAUGGAGAUUCAGACGGCUGUCAAAACUGUAGGCCGGGCAGUGGUGGUGCACACCUUUAAUUCCAGCACUUGGGAGGCAGAGGCANNNNNNNNNNNNNNNNNNNNNNNNNNAGAGUGAGUUCCAGGACAGCCAGGGCUAUACAGAGAAACCCUGUCUCAAAAACAAACAAACAAACAAAAAACAAAACAAAAACAAACAAACAAACAAACUGUAUGCUUUUCACUUAAAUCAGAGGGGCUGGAGGACUGGCACGAAGGCCCUGCCUAGAAUUCCCCAGUAAGGGGCCUGGGGGCGUGGUUAGGGGGUAAAAGGCAGAGAGUUGUCCUCUGACCUUCACACUCACAGUGGCCACACAACACACAUAACUCACAUUCAUGCAACAAAAGGAAAACCCCAUCUCAAAAGGAAAGAGAGUUGUCAGCUAUACUGAGUCUGCUUUCUAUGUCGUUAUGUUAUCUUGUAGUACCUGGGCCCUUCGUGGUCGAACAGGCUGUUAUCAAAGCUUGUCACCAGGCCAUCUUUCAAGAAGGGAGCUGGGCAGAAACAACAAGGAGCAGCCCGCAGUAUGGAGAGGACCACUUUAUUCUUAGGCUGGCACAGAGGUGGGAGUGAAUGAGGCAGGUGGACCCCUCCCUGGGCUGCUGGGAUUUGGCAAGGUGGCCAAGUCUUACAGGUGAGAAAUACACUCAGUCAAGCCUUGAGGGCUGGUCCCUGAUUCUUCCAGAGCUGGGUAUUGGGCACAGUGACUUCGGGAAGUACCCAGGGGUGUCUCUCAGCCCUGGGCUCAGGCAACCAAGCUUAAACUGUACACAUUUAGUUUAGUGGCAGCCUCUGGAAAAGUAACCAGAAUUCCUCAGGGUCUUGAGAGUGCAGAGGUCUCAGGGAAUGGCCAUGAGGCUCAAAAGUUGGAGCUGGGAACAGUCAUAUUCUGCUACACCCUCCAUGGCAUGACAGACAGGGACCUGCUGGAGUUUGGUCCUGUGGCCCACAGGGGCCACACAACACACAUAGUUUUGCUACACAAUAGGCUGCCACUGAAGAGAGAGGUUCCUGUCACCACCUUCCAGGAACUGCAGAUCUAAGGGUGGGAGCCACAAGUGAAUUCAUUACUGGAUCCCAGGUUAGCCCAGAUACUGUUCCCAGGAGGGUGGCCACUAGAAACCAGUUAUCAGUAAUCCCAAAAAUCUCCAGAUGAGCUGGCUGACACUUGGGGACAGAGGCAGGUGGAUCUGUGAGUUGGAGGCCAGCCUGGCCUACAGAAUAAGUUCCAGGACAGCCAGGGCUACAUAGUAAGAGCCUGUCUCGAAACAAAAACAAAGACAAACAAACAAACAAAACCAAAAAUAUUUCUGAAUAGACUUGGGUUUGGUACCUUACAUCUUUAACAAAGCACUUGGGAUGCAGAGGCAGGAGGAUCUCUGUGAGUUCCAGGCCAGUUUCAAAACCAAACCAACAAUGUAAAAAAAGAAAGGAAAUGAAGCCAGCCGUGUUCACAACAGAGCCAGUCUGUGUGUGCGUUUGUGUGGCUGCGCACUGGGGUAGCCCAUGGCUGCCUGAUUCUCCCUGUCCCCUGGGCACCCUAUGUCUGGCUCUCCCAGGCUCCUCCAUGGGUGUGGGGGUCACACAUGUGCACUCACGCUCACGUGGCAAACACCUCCCCACUGUGCAGACCCUUACCGGUUUUGUUUUGUUUCUUUAAAACAGGGUCUCUCUGUGUAGACCAGGCUGGCCUCGAAUUGACAGAUCUGCCUGUCACUGCCUCCUGACUAGGAUCAAAGGCCUGUGCCACCCUGCCUGGCUCCUUUACAUUUUUUUUUAAGACAAUCUUGUUAUGAGACCCUGGCUGGCCUGACCAUUACUGUGGAGGUCAGGGUGGCCUCAAGUUUAUAGCAAUCCUCCUUGCAGCUGCCUGCAGAGUCUUGGGAUCAUAGGCAUGCAGUGUAUGCACCCUUCCUGACCUACAAAGACCCCCAGAACACCCAAUACUGGGAGUCCUGCCCUGGGGGUGCUGGGGGUGGCAUGGCACAUUAGUUCAUCUUUGGAGGUAUGCUGGCUGCCUAUGUGGUCACCCACACACAAUGUGGCUGUAAACAGAAGACAUCUGGUGGCCCCUCCCCUUCCAGGUUGGCAAGUGAGGGACAAAGCUGUCAGGGCAGAGAGCCAUGGAGAAGGGACAAGUGGUGGUUAGCAGUGGCUCCAGAUCCUGCCUCCUCUCGGAGGCCAUGGCACAUACAGUGUAAACCCAGUGGCUGAAAGCACAGUGUCCAGGUUCAAGUUCAGGCCCUGGAUGCCGGCAAGGGGACGGGUUAGAGUCAGGGCCCACAGUCACCACGAGAGGGGGCGGAAGCUGUGGUCUUGCUGCUCCUCAGACAGUGGCGUGAGUGAGCGUGCCAUGCUCCUGAGACACAAGCUGCACACAGUUGUCUCCCCAAGUCUCAGCGGACGGGAGGGGCCCUCAGUGACACAUCCGUGAUGUCAUCUCUUUCUG
ensembl:lincRNA Gm26541 predicted gene, 26541